rnacentral:sRNA from 1 species
UGUGGAUUUACGGUAAAGAAGGCGCGCUGGCGGGAUUCCGGAGCAUCGUUGUUGGCGG